UACGUAGGGGGCAAGCGUUGUCCGGAUUUAUUGGGCGUAAAGAGCGUGUAGGCGGCCAUGCAGGUCCGUUGUGAAAACUGGAGGCUUAACCUCCAGACGCCGGUGGAAACCGCAUGGCUAGAGUCCGGAAGAGGAGAGUGGAAUUCCUGGUGUAGCGGUGAAAUGCGCAGAUAUCAGGAAGAACACCCGUGGCGAAGGCGGCUCUCUGGGACGUGACUGACGCUGAGACGCGAAAGCGUGGGGAGCAAACAGG
rnacentral:rRNA from 1 species